AGAAAGCAGUUGGUGUAGAUAACUGAAACUGCAGAAGAGAAAACUGUGAAUAAAAGGGAACAACUGUACCCUUACAACCACCACUGUAAUCAAGAGGUAUAACAGCUUCAUCAGUUCAAAAUUCAGUCUCAGGAGGUAAUGGUUUUGCAAAGGUGCUGGGAAGUGGUAGCAUUCCAGAUACAUUCUGAACAUAGAGACCACAGGAUUUCCUGACGAUUGGAUUAAGUUUACGAAAAAUACAGGCAUCAAGAAUGGCCCUAAGAAUUUUGGCCUAAGCAACUGGAAAGAUGGAGUCACCAUCCUGUGAGAGAGGAAGACUAAAGAUGAAGCAUUUUUUCAG
rnacentral:lncRNA from 1 species